UGGCAGUUAGGCUGCCUGGGUUCAAAUUUAGUUCUUUCAUUUGCUAGCUGUGCGAUGUCAGGUUCGAUGCAUGAGACGUGCACACCAAAAGCUUUCAUGUCCCGUCUGUGAAAAGAACCCAUUGAAGAUGUUUAAUCCAGCAGUGUCAAGAGGGUAUUUUGGAUGACUUGUCUCCUCACCCACUCAUGAAAAUAACACACAAUCUAUGGACAAGUGGCUUUAACCCCAUCUAAGCUUACUAGCACCACUCAGCGGAGUGUCUCUGUUUGCAUCUCCAGUCCCUUUCUCCACCCUUCUGCCUGCACCUCAUCCUGGGAGGCUGACCUGAAUUAACUAUACUCUGGCUUCUGUCAACUAUAGAAGGUACAGUCGACUGGAAGUGCCAGUGGGAGAUCAGGAGGAGAGAGGAGAAGAAGUCCGGCUAGUUCUCCUCCUGUGGUGUCAACACUGGUUAUUUUACCCCUCAACUGAAGUCAAUAGCCUCUAUGUCUCCAGGAUCUGGAAACUGCCCUGUCUCCUCGUCUUUUCAGUCCUGUGGAUAAAAAGGCCUCUGCUGUCAUUAGCCCCUCGAUUCUACACUAUCCUUUGGGAUUUCCCUAAAAACUUCCCACAUGUUUGGAAAUAGUCCUUUAAGCAAACUCUGUUUCCUUUACCCAAGGCUAAUGUGCCACUGUUUCCUACCAGAACGUUGACUGAGAGAACCGCUUGCAAUUUAGAGACUUUGAACUGAUAGUUAGUUGUAAGUUCUGGUUCCAGGUAAGAUGGAUUAAUCACACUCCACCCGCCACGCCCCGUCUCUCUCAUUGAAUGCAGCUGUAAAACUCAGACAGACUGCAUGGAGCAGGUAUUGAGUAACUGAUACUACUGCAUCUGCAGCUGACAGUAACACCAAUGGAGAGACCUACCCUGAUUUAGCCUCUUCAUAUGAUUCCCUAACUCUUUGCCACACUGAGCAGUUGAAUAUAAAUUCACUGUCACUAUCAGCAUCACUCAUUAAUGUGAAAAGUAAAAAAAGAGUUAGAUAGA